UACGUAGGGUGCAAGCGUUGUCCGGAAUUAUUGGGCGUAAAGAGCUCGUAGGCGGCUUGUUACGUCGACUGUGAAAACCCGGGGCUCAACCCCGGGCCUGCAGUGGGUACGGGCAGACUAGAGUGCGGUAGGGGAGACUGGAAUUCCUGGUGUAGCGGUGAAAUGCGCAGAUAUCAGGAGGAACACCGGUGGCGAAGGCGGGUCUCUGGGCCGUAACUGACGCUGAGGAGCGAAAGCGUGGGGAGCGAACAGG
rnacentral:rRNA from 1 species